rnacentral:rRNA from 1 species
GCGGACGGGUUAGUACGCGUGGGACAUACCCUUUUCUACGGAAUAGCCUCGGGAAACUGAGAGUAAUACCGUAUACGCCCUUCGGGGGAAAGAUUUAUCGGAUAAGGAUUGGCCCGCGUUAGAUUAGAUAGUUGGUGGGGUAACGGCCUACCAAGUCUACGAUCUAUAGCUGGUUUUAGAGGAUGAUCAGCAACACUGGGACUGAGACACGGCCCAAACUCCUACGGGAGGCAGCAGUGGGGAAUCUUAGACAAUGGGCGCAAGCCUGAUCUAGCCAUGCCGCGUGUGUGAUGAAGGCCUUAGGGUCGUAAAGCACUUUCGCCAGGGAUGAUAAUGACAGUACCUGGUAAAGAAACCCCGGCUAACUCCGUGCCAGCAGCCGCGGUAAUACGGAGGGGGUUAGCGUUGUUCGGAAUUACUGGGCGUAAAGCGUACGUAGGCGGAUCAGAAAGUAGGGGGUGAAAUCCCGAGGCUCAACCUCGGAACUGCCUCCUAAACUCCUGGUCUUGAGUUCGAGAGAGGUGAGUGGAAUUCCAAGUGUAGAGGUGAAAUUCGUAGAUAUUUGGAGGAACACCAGUGGCGAAGGCGGCUCACUGGCUCGAUACUGACGCUGAGGUACGAAAGUGUGGGGAGCAAACAGGAUUAGAUACCCUGGUAGUCCACACCGUAAACGAUGAAUGCCAGUCGUCGGGCAGUAUACUGUUCGGUGACACACCUAACGGAUUAAGCAUUCCGCCUGGGGAGUACGGUCGCAAGAUUAAGACUCAAAGGAAUUGACGGGGGCCCGCACAAGCGGUGGAGCAUGUGGUUUAAUUCGAAGCAACGCGCAGAACCUUACCAACCCUUGACAUCCUG